rnacentral:rRNA from 1 species
UGGGGAAUAUUGCACAAUGGGGGAAACCCUGAUGCAGCGACGCCGCGUGAACGAAGAAGGUAUUCGUAUCGUAAAGUUCUGUCCUAUGGGAAGAUAAUGACAGUACCAUAGAAGAAAGCUCCGGCUAAAUACGUGCCAGCAGCCGCGGUAAUACGUAUGGAGCGAGCGUUGUCCGGAAUUAUUGGGCGUAAAGGGUACGCAGGCGGUUUAAUAAGUCGAAUGUUAAAGAUCGGGGCUCAACCCCGUAAAGCAUUGGAAACUGAUAAACUUGAGUAGUGGAGAGGAAAGUGGAAUUCCUAGUGUAGUGGUGAAAUACGUAGAUAUUAGGAGGAAUACCAGUAGCGAAGGCGACUUUCUGGACACAAACUGACGCUGAGGUACGAAAGCGUGGGGAGCAAACGGG